rnacentral:rRNA from 1 species
CAAGGAGGCAGCAGGCGCGCAAAUUACCCCACUCCCGGCUCGGGGAGGUAGUGACGAAAAAUAACAAUACGGGACUCUUUUGAGACCCCGUAAUUGGAAUGAGUACACUCUAAAAUCCUUUAACGAGGAUCCAUUGGAGAGCAAGUCUGGUGCCAGCCGUCGCRGUAAUUCCAGCUCCAAUAGCGUAUAUUAAAGUUGUUGCGGUUAAAAAGCUCGUAGUUGGAUCUCAGCUCCGGCCGGACGGUCCGCCUACCGGUGGUUACUGUUCGUCGCCGAGCGUUCAGGCGGUUAUUCUUGAUGAUCUUCACCGGUUGUCUCGGGUGACCGCCAAGUUUACUUUGAAAAAAUUAGAGUGCUCAAAGCGGGCGUGAUGCCUGAAUAAUUGUGCAUGGAAUAAUGGAAUAGGACCUCGGUUCUAUUUUGUUGGUUUUCGGAACACGAGGUAAUGAUUAAGAGGGACAGACGGGGGCAUUCGUAUUGCGACGCUAGAGGUGAAAUUCUUGGACCGUCGCAAGACGAACUACUGCGAAAGCAUUUGCCAAGAAUGUUUCCAUUAAUCAAGAACGAAAGUUAGAGGUUCGAAGGCGAUCAGAUACCGCCCUAGUUCUAACCAUAAACGAUGCCAGCCAGCGAUCCGGCUGUGUUCCUCAAUGACACGCCGGGCAGCUUCCGGGAACCAAAGCUUWGGGUUCCGGGGAAGU